rnacentral:rRNA from 1 species
AACGAACGCUGGCGGCGCGCUUAACACAUGCAAGUCGAGCGAGAAAGUGACUUCGGUCAUGAGUACAGCGGCGCACGGGUGCGUAACACGUGGACAACCUACCCUGAGGAAGGGGAUAACUCUGCGAAAGCGGGGCUAAUACCGUAUACGUCCUUGAGGCUUCGGCUGAUAGGGGAAAGGGGCUUUUGUCUCGCCUCAGGAUGGGUCUGCGGCCCAUCAGCUUGUUGGUAAGGUAACGGCUUACCAAGGCUACGACGGGUAGCUGGCCUGAGAGGGUGGCCAGCCGCACUGGAACUGAAACACGGUCCAGACUCCUACGGGAGGCAGCAGUGGGGAAUCUUGCGCAAUGGGGGAAACCCUGACGCAGCGACGCCGCGUGAGUGAAGAAGGCCUUCGGGUUGUAAAACUCUGUCGCGAGUGAAGAAACAGUACGGGUAACGCCGUACUGCGACGGUAUCUCGUGAGAAAGCACUGGCUAACUCCGUGCCAGCAGCCGCGGUAAUACGGAGAGUGCAAGCGUUGUUCGGAAUCACUGGGCGUAAAGCGAGUGUAGGUGGCCUUGUAAGUCGGAUGUGAAAGCCCACGGCUCAACCGUGGAGGGUCAUCCGAAACUGCCUGGCUUGAGUUCGGGAGAGGGUAGCGGAAUUCCCGGUGUAGAGGUGAAAUUCGUAGAUAUCGGGAGGAACACCAGUGGCGAAGGCGGCUACCUGGACCGACACUGACACUGAGACUCGAAAGCGUGGGGAGCAAACAGGGUUAGAUACCCUGGUAGUCCACGCCGUCAACGGUGGGCACUAGGUGCAGCGGGUGUCUGACCCCUGCUGUGCCGAAGUUAACGCAUUAAGUGCCCCGCCUGGGGAGUACGGCCGCAAGGUUA